rnacentral:rRNA from 1 species
UACGUAGGGCGCAAGCGUUGUCCGGAAUUAUUGGGCGUAAAGAGCUCGUAGGCGGCCAGUUGCGUCCGCUGUGAAAUCCCGGGGCUUAACCCCGGGCGUGCAGUGGAUACGGGCUGGCUAGAGGCAGGCAGGGGAGAACGGAAUUCCCGGUGUAGCGGUGAAAUGCGCAGAUAUCGGGAGGAACACCGGUGGCGAAGGCGGUUCUCUGGGCCUGUACUGACGCUGAGGCACGAAAGCGUGGGGAGCAAACAGG